rnacentral:rRNA from 1 species
AAGUCCCUUCGGCGUCGCGUAGACCGGCGGACGGAUGAGUAAUACAUGGAUAAUCUCCCUUCGAGUCCGGGAUAACCCUGCGAAAGUGGGGUUAAUACCGGAUAAGGCCACGUGACGUGAGGUCAUGCGGUAAAAGGUGGCUUUGUUUUCGGACGAGGCUAUCACUUGAUGAUGAGUCCAUGGCCUAUCAGCUUGUGGGCGAGGUAACGGCUCUCCAAGGCGAUGACGGGUAGCUGGUCUGCGAGGACGACCAGCCUCACUGGUAUUGAGACACGGCCCAGCCUCCUACGGGAGGCACCAGUGGCGAAUUUUGGGCAAUGGCCGCAAGCCUGACCCAGCGACACCGUGUGGGCGCUGAAGGCCUUCGGG